UAUUGAUCCAGCUUAUCAAUCGAAGAUCUAUUCCUCCCCUAAUCAGUUAUUACAUAUAGAUAUGUCCACAAGCAACAGAUAAUGUUCUUGAAACAGAUAAUGAUUAAACGAAACUUCCUCACCAACUCAUUAAAUCCAAAACAAAAUCCUGCUGGUUCUCCCUGUGAUAUAAGGAAACACUAGUAAAGUCCAGUUUGGGCAAGGACUACUCAAUGAACUCCUGGCUAUAUAUAAACCAUUGUAGCUUCUUUAUAUUUGUCACUGCUACUUGAUCUUCAACCCUUGAAGAAAAAAGAAGAGACGAGAAAGAUGGGAAGCUUAAAACAAGUUGAUGAUGCGACUUUCGGGAAGAAACUGGAAGAGAUUAUUAAAGCUGCUGAGGAUGAGUUGGAGCCAUUACACUUGCUCGCUGACACUGUUUUAGAAGAUUUUGAUGUCAAGAAAGCCAAAAAUGCUGGCCUAGAGGGAAACAAUAACUGUAAUGUUGGUUACCCUUUUGGCGUUCUAAUACCCAAGAGCAAGAGAACACCCCGUGUAGAAGUAGCUGUCGAGAAAACUGAUGAGAAUGUGGAAGCAUGCCCUAGGUUCUUGAAGCAGACGGCUACCGCUGGAAGUGAACACAGUAAAGAAGAGAAAGUGGAAGAGGAAGAGGAAGGAUAUUGUGAUUUCAAGAAGCAAAGGAAAAGCAAC
rnacentral:misc_RNA from 1 species